rnacentral:rRNA from 1 species
UACGAAGGUCCCGAGCGUUGUUCGGAAUCACUGGGCGUAAAGAGCUCGUAGGCGGCUUGUCGCGUCGACUGUGAAAUCCCGCGGCUCAACCGCGGGUCUGCAGUCGAUACGGGCAGGCUAGAGUGCGGUAGGGGAGAUUGGAAUUCCUGGUGUAGCGGUGGAAUGCGCAGAUAUCAGGAGGAACACCAAUGGCGAAGGCAGAUCUCUGGGCCGUAACUGACGCUGAGGAGCGAAAGCAUGGGGAGCGAACAGG